rnacentral:rRNA from 1 species
GCAAAACCUAGUCCAAAAGCAAAAAAAUAUAAUCAUAGCCCCUAACUAAAACAAAACAUUUAUAACUCAACGAAAGUAUAGGAGAUAGAAAUCGCAAUUAGGCACUAUAGAAAUAGUACCGUAAGGGAAUGAUGAAAGAAAACAUUUAAAGCAAAAUAUAGCAAAGCUUACCCCUUGUACCUUUUGCAUAAUGAUUUAACUAGAAUCACUUAGCAAAGAGACCUUAAGUUAAACCUCCCGAAACCAGACGAGCUAUUCACAAGCAGCUUUAUAGAGCAAACUCAUCUAUGUGGCAAAAUAGUGAAAAGACUUAUGAAUAGAGGUGACAAGCCUACCGAGCCUGGUGAUAUCUGGUUGUCCAGAAAAGAAUUUAAGUUCAACUUUAAGCCUGCCAAAAACUAAACUAAUUCUAAAUGCAGACUUAAAAGAUAGUCUAAAGGGGGACAGCCCUUUAGACACAGGCUACAACCUUAUUUAGAGAGUAAAUAUAUAAACCAAACCAUAGUUGGCCUAAAAGCAGCCAUCAAUAAAGAAAGCGUUCAAGCUCAACAAUACAAACAUCUUAAUCCCAAUAAAAUAUAUCAACUCCUAAAAUUAAAACUGGACUAUUCUAUAAACAUAUAGAAGAGCUACUGUUAAUAUGAGUAACAAGAAUCAUUUCUCCUUGCACAAGUGUAUAUCAGAACGAAUCCCCACUGAUAAUUAACACCCAUAAAGUAAACUAUACAACAAGCCCUUUACUUUUCAACUGUUAGCCCAACACAGGAGUGCCCUCAAGGAAAGAUUAAAAGGAGUAAAAGGAACUCGGCAAACAUAGACCCCGCCUGUUUACCAAAAACAUCACCUCUAGCAUCCCAAGUAUUAGAGGCACUGCCUGCCCAGUGACAUACGUUCAACGGCCGCGGUAUCCUGACCGUGCAAAGGUAGCAUAAUCACUUGUUCUCUAAAUAAGGACUUGUAUGAAUGGCCACACGAGGGUCCUACUGUCUCUUACUCCCAAUCAGUGAAAUUGACCUUCCCGUGAAGAGGCGGGAAUGCCACAAUAAGACGAGAAGACCCUAUGGAGCUUUAAUUAAUUAACUUAAAAAUAAUAAUUACCAACGAAAGAAACAAAAUAUAUUUAACAUAAGUUAAUAAUUUAGGUUGGGGUGACCUCGGAGUACAAAAAACCCUCCAAGUAAUUAAAGCCUAGACUCACAAGUCAAAGCCACAACUACCACUGAUCCAAAACUUUUGAUCAACGGAACAAGUUACCCUAGGGAUAACAGCGCAAUCCUAUUUAAGAGUCCCUAUCGACAAUAGGGUUUACGACCUCGAUGUUGGAUCAGGACACCCCAAUGGUGCAGCAGCUAUUAAAGGUUCGUUUGUUCAACGAUUAAAGUCCUACGUGAUCUGAGUUCAGACCGGAGUAAUCCAGGUCGGUUUCUAUCUAUUUAAUGCCCUUCCCAGUACGAAAGGACAAGAAGGACAAGGCCUCCUUAAACCCUAAGCGCCUUCUAGCUUAACAGACGAAAUUUAUCUCAAUCUGAAAAGCUAUUAAAUACUCCCCUUAGAAAAAGGGUAC